rnacentral:rRNA from 1 species
UUGAACGCUGGCGGCAUGCCUUACACAUGCAAGUCGAACGGCAGCACGGGUGCUUGCACCUGGUGGCGAGUGGCGAACGGGUGAGUAAUACAUCGGAACAUAUCCUGUAGUGGGGGAUAGCCCGGCGAAAGCCGGAUUAAUACCGCAUACGAUCUACGGAUGAAAGCGGGGGACCUUCGGGCCUCGCGCUAUAGGGUUGGCCGAUGGCUGAUUAGCUAGUUGGUGGGGUAAAGGCCUACCAAGGCGACGAUCAGUAGCUGGUCUGAGAGGACGACCAGCCACACUGGGACUGAGACACGGCCCAGACUCCUACGGGAGGCAGCAGUGGGGAAUUUUGGACAAUGGGCGAAAGCCUGAUCCAGCAAUGCCGCGUGUGUGAAGAAGGCCUUCGGGUUGUAAAGCACUUUUGUCCGGAAAGAAAUCCUUGGCCCUAAUACGGUCGGGGGAUGACGGUACCGGAAGAAUAAGCACCGGCUAACUACGUG